AUAAUCACAGAUUGUGUUUCACUCCCUGUGAGGAUAAACUUGCUUUGUUUUCCCCUCUGUGCCUUUAUGAGGCUGCCCAACAGCCCCAGGGCCUCAUCCUUCUAGUCCUGGAUUGUCACUGUGGUGUCUUUGCUGAAAUGUCCCCACCACCUGUGGUAUGACCAGUGGGGAAGGGUAGAUUGGCAGCAGUGGUUGGUAGACUCGGGUUCCUUUUGGGACCCACCAGCAAGCCAGUGGUGUGACUGGGAAGCCACCACCCUGGGGAGCUGGGAGCUCACUGGGCUCAGGAGGAGGCCCAGUUGGCAAGGCACAGCCCCCAGGGCCAUGUGACACUACCUGCAGCCCUGUCUCCUGCUCUCUGGAGGGUGUGCCCUUGGAGCAGAUGAGGAUCUGGCUGAAGUGGACACAGAGCAGUGACUCCAUUUAGUGAAUGCUCCCAACCUGCAAGCCCUCUCCUAAGCACCUUGCUUUGGUUGUUUUUGGAGACCGUUUCAUGCUGUAGUCUAGACUACCACACUGGCACUAUGAUCCUCCUUGCCUCAGCCUCCGAAGUGCUGGGAUUACUGGCAUGCACCAGCAUACUAGGUGUCCUGUUCUAAGGCCCUUCAAGACCUGACACCUAAGAGCCAGGUGUGGUGGCGCAUACCUGUAGUCCCACCACUUAGGCUGAGGCAGAGGAAUCGCCAAGAGUUUGAGGCCAGCCUGUACUACAUAGUGAGUUCAAGGCCAGCCUAGAAUGUACAGUGAGACUCUGUCUCAAAAAACCAGAAAAAGACCUGAAACCAGAACGUGUUAUGGACGCAUCCGCAGCAUAGUUCAUGCACACCCGGGUGCAAUGUCAGGUUCCCCAAACCUGCAGAGGCUCCUAGGCUGAGAGCCCCACAGGAAGUGCUCAUCAGUGCUCAGUGGGGGACAUGUGGGGCGAGACAGCCCUGUCCUGUCUGGACAGCUUCACCUCACCCAGAGGGUGCCAGAGACCUGCGCAGUCUGAGAACUGGGCGCAAGUUGAAUAAGCAACAUCCCCUGCACCAAGGAAUGGACACAGCAGCUCCGAAAGGACAGCAGGGUAUGAACAGAUCCAGCACCCCCAGAUGGCUGGUGAGUGGGAGAAAGGAUGUUGGAGGGCAGCACCCAUGCCAUGUAUGUAAAAUAAAAC
rnacentral:lncRNA from 1 species